UUAAGGUGUUACCUGUUGGUUGAACCCAGCCCAAAGCAAGGGAACCUUGAUGCUGUCUACACAGGUCUCUCUCGUGGGGCGUGCAGCGGGGAAAAAGGUGGAGUGGCUACCUGUCCAAUAACACCCCUCGGCUCUGCAGCCUUCAGCUAAAAUGACUCAGGAGGCAGUGCCUGAUGUGGAAGAGGGAAUCAGGAGUCCUCCCAGGCCUGGUGCGAGACCGCUCCCUCAUUCUCUUCCUUCUUUCCCUCUUUGCUGCUGCUUCUUCCCUUUGCCAAAUACGGCUUCCAUGCCUACAAGUUCAUAUGGUCUGCAGCGGCUGCAACAGCUUCUGGCCAAAGAGCGAAGGGUGCUUUCAGAAGAGAAGUUUCCCUGGUUCAGGAGUCAUCCAAGCCUGCUCCGGUGGCAAGUUUUCCCAGUGAAGUGAGCCCCACUGGCGAACUUGAAUUCUUAUGUAUCUUUGCCAACAGUUUCUUGGAACCUCUAAGUAAACACAUUAAAAUGCCAGUAAAAAUU